CACGUAGGGGGCAAGCGUUGUCCGGAAUUACUGGGCGUAAAGAGCUCGUAGGUGGUUUGUCGCGUUGUUCGUGAAAACUCACAACUCAAUUGUGGGCGUGCGGGCGAUACGGGCAGACUGGAGUACUGCAGGGGAGACUGGAAUUCCUGGUGUAGCGGUGGAAUGCGCAGAUAUCAGGAGGAACACCGGUGGCGAAGGCGGGUCUCUGGGCCGAUACUGACGCUGAGGUGCGAAAGCGUGGGGAGCAAACAGG
rnacentral:rRNA from 1 species